rnacentral:lncRNA from 1 species
UAACUGCAGGGGAGUGAAAAAACACAGGUUAGGUGAGGUUCACAGAAAGCCCAACAGGCACUUUGCCCCUCAAGGAACAACCCAAACGAGGGACGGGAAAAGGGUGGGGAAUGCACGUCCACUUCUAAACCGUUUCCAUUCGGGGAAAUAAACUACAAAGCAACAGUUGGCUGCUGCAACACAGACAACACCCAAGACUAGAAACAACAGACACCAUCUUCCGUUACUUUGUCUUACGCUUCCUAUAAACACUUUGCAACAAACUUUCCUAGUUAAAAAUUCUCUCUUCAAGACACUGCGUACUACAAAAUCGCCGCAUUAUCAUUGCACAGCUCAGGUCACCCAAUUUAAGACUUUCGGGCACGUGGCACUAAAUCCACCUCC